rnacentral:misc_RNA from 1 species
AACAUUGAAUAUCUGGAAUCAGGUAAACUCGCAUCCAUUGUUCGCCGAGUCGGACGCACGCUACCAUGGGAUCGCCCUCGCCAAGAUGCGCAAACUAUUCACCUUGGUGAUGCUGACGACCGUCGCCUCGGCUGUGGCUUGGACCACCAUCACCUUCUUUGGCGAGAGUGUGAAGUUUGCUUUUGAGAAGGAGACCAAUUCGACCAUCACCGUGGAAAUCCCGCGAUUGCCCAUCAAGUCGUUCUAUCCAUGGAAUGCCGGCACGGGCAUGUUUUAUAUUAUAAGCUUCGCUUUUCAGUGCUACUAUCUGCUUUUCUCCAUGGUGCAUGCGAACUUGUGCGAUGUACUUUUUUGCUCAUGGCUGAUUUUCGCCUGCGAACAGCUGCAACAUCUAAAAGGCAUUAUGAAGCCAUUAAUGGAGCUGUCAGCCUCGCUGGACACCUAUCGGCCAAAUUCGGCGGCUCUCUUUCGUUCAUUAUCCGCCAACUCGAAGUCGGAAUUAAUCAACAAUGAGGAGAAAGAACCCACUGAUCUGGACAUCAGCGGCGUCUAUAGCUCGAAAGCCGAUUGGGGUGCACAAUUUCGUGCGCCAUCGACUCUGCAAACCUUCAAUGGCAUGAACGGUACAAAUCCGAAUGGUUUGACCAGAAAACAGGAAAUGAUGGUGCGCAGCGCUAUAAAAUACUGGGUCGAGCGGCAUAAGCACGUGGUGCGAUUAGUGGCAGCAAUUGGUGACACUUACGGCGGCGCUUUGUUGUUGCACAUGUUGACAUCCACCAUUAUGCUGACGUUGUUGGCAUAUCAGGCCACCAAAAUCACCGGCGUGAAUGUGUACGCUUUCACAACCAUCGGCUACUUGGGCUAUGCCUUGGCGCAGGUAUUUCACUUCUGCAUAUUUGGCAACCGGCUCAUUGAAGAGAGCUCAUCUGUCAUGGAGGCAGCCUAUUCGUGCCACUGGUAUGAUGGCUCCGAGGAGGCCAAGACUUUUGUUCAGAUCGUUUGCCAGCAGUGCCAAAAGGCGAUGUCCAUAUCGGGAGCGAAGUUCUUCACUGUCUCGCUGGACUUGUUUGCAUCGGUUCUUGGCGCUGUUGUCACCUACUUCAUGGUGUUGGUGCAAUUGAAGUAGAAAAAACUUACAACAACAACAUCAAAAAUAAUUCUCUGCACCCAUAUAAUAAGAUUUUAAAUUUUUAUAAUGCCAACAACAACAAUAACCAGCGCAAAAAGUACAUCAAGCCCACCCAGUCGCAGCGCGUCAGAGGCAACAUUCGCCUGAAUUAUCAGCAAAUUGGGCACACCCAUCGGGCGUGUAAUAUUUACAAUAACAACUAUAAAAACUAUGUUUAUAAAGCAGUAAAAAUAACGGAGAAAUUUGGCCACGUUAAUAUUUGCUGGCAGAGAAUUUGCUUCUAAAGGAAUUAAAGCAGAGCCUAUGUCAGAAUACAGAUUACAAAUACAUUACGUAUAAUGACGAGCAAAAUUUUAGCAUUAGAAACGGCAUUAUUUUGAUUGUGCUCCAGUUUCACUAUAAUCAUUUUUAUUGUAGAAUUUUAGUAACAACUUCGAAAAACAACAAUAUUUAUAUAGGCAAAUUAGGGUGUCCCUUAUUUCCCUAGUUGAUUUUUUUGCUAACAUUACUGAAGAGUCAAUUUUGUCCUAAAAUACGAUCCAAAGUAAAAAAAGUACUUUAUUUUCAAUUUAAACCGUGUCUAAAUGAUUUUACUUUUCCCAUUUAUAUAACGUAGAAUUUUUUAUUCUCUCCUUUUCUCGCUUAUUACAAAAAUUUGAUGAAUAGUGCAUGUAUUUAGAAACAGUCGAGAGGCAAAUCAUUAGUACUUAAAAGCAUACAUUGAAACAGUUAAGACCUCCACUUUAUCAGAAUUUAUCAAAUAACGGGAAAUUAAAAAAAACCUUACGCUUGGCCAACCGGUCUAAAAAGAAAUACUAUAUAUUAUACAAGAAGCCUUAUCCGCAUUCCAAUUACACAUUCUAUUCCACCUGCUACAAUUUCGCUCGUCAGUGCGCGUAUGGCAAAUUAUAUAAAGUGACCAAGUACUUGGAAAGCUUUUCAAAAAAUGACAGCAAAAUAAGUUUACAAAAUAACAUGCAUAAACAAUUUAAAUUAUUUUGUGCAGAUUUUCCAGUGAAUACCGUUAAUUUGAUAAUUUUAUAAAAUCGUUUUGAUGUUACGCAGUUUUAUGAAACAAGCACAUUUUAUUUGUUAAAUAUAAAUUAUGUAACUAUGCCAUAAGUCACCGCAAAACACGCAUAGAACAAAUUUUCUUUAGUGAAGAGUACAAUAAAGGAAGUAGUGCAUCACUUGACUUCAAAAAUAAUA